AGAGUUUGAUCAUGGCUCAGGACGAACGCUGGCGGCGUGCUUAACACAUGCAAGUCGAACGAGAUCCAUUCAGUAGCAAUACUGAUGAAGAUCUAGUGGCGAACGGGUGCGUAACACGUGAGGAACUUGUCCCGGUCUCUGGGAUAACAGUUGGAAACGACUGCUAAUACCGGAUGACGUCGGAACUUCGCAUGGAGUACUGACGAAAGGGUUACUGGAUCGGGGAGAGCCUCGCGGCCUAUCAGCUUGUUGGUGGGGUAACGGCCUACCAAGGCAUCGACGGGUAGCUGGUCUGAGAGGAUGAUCAGCCACACUGGGACUGAGACACGGCCCAGACUCCUACGGGAGGCAGCAGUGGGGAAUCUUGCACAAUGGGCGAAAGCCUGAUGCAGCAACGCCGCGUGCGGGAAGAAGGCCCUCGGGUUGUAAACCGCUUUCAGAAGGAACGAAACUGACGGUACUUUCAGAAGAAGGUGCGGCCAACUACGUGCCAGCAGCCGCGGUGACACGUAGGCACCAAGCGUUGUCCGGAUUUAUUGGGCGUAAAGAGCUCGUAGGCGGUUCAGUAAGUCGGGUGUGAAAACUUUGGGCUUAACCCAAAGCGUGCAUCCGAUACUGUUGUGACUUGAGUUCGGUAGGGGAGUGGGGAAUUCCUAGUGUAGCGGUGAAAUGCGCAGAUAUUAGGAGGAACACCGGUGGCGAAGGCGCCACUCUGGGCCGAAACUGACGCUGAGGAGCGAAAGCAUGGGUAGCAAACAGGAUUAGAUACCCNNGUAGUCC
rnacentral:rRNA from 1 species